GUUGAUCGCUCGUUGUCGGCCCAGACCGCGUGCUUCCGCCCCGUGGACCCUCCGGGCGUCUCCAGCAUCUCCGCCCCGGCGCACCUCAUCGACCCCGCGGCACGCCCCAGCGCGGACAGCGGCAGGGUCCAAUACCUCGGCGGCAACGUCGUCCAGGUCCUCUUCGGCCACGUCGGCGACGGCCACCUCCUGCUCAGCUACCAUGACCUCCGGGCGGAGGGCCCAUGCACCUGCUGGGACCUCACCAGGAACCCUGAGAUCCAGCGCUUCGUCUGCAACCCCCUCACCGGCCAAAUGCUCCGCCUCCCCGACAUCGGCGGCUGCAGGAAGAUCCUCGUCGUCCACCGCAUGGGCCUCCUCACCCAGGCCGACGGAGGGCUCGGGUGCGGGCCGUCCGACAGGUUCGCCGUCGCCGGCCUCGUCUUCAAUGGCUCCGCCCUUGCGCGGUUCCUCUCCGACCAAGGCAAGUGGAAGACGGUGAUGAUGGGCUUGCCCGGCGGACCGCUGCUCCCGCGCGAGAUGGAGAUGAACCAGGAGACGGUUGCCUUCGACGGCCGGCUGUGGUGGGUCGACCUCACCUUGGGCGCCGUCUCCGUCGACCCCUUUGCUAACCGGCCGGAGAUCCGCUUCGUCGAGCUGCCCAGCGGCAGCGUGCUGCCUGCGCCUGCAUGUGCGGACGAACGAGAUCUCAGCAAAGUCGAGGAACGGGCGCUGUCCAUGAUGGAGCUGGCCAAGCGCCGGCGCAUCGGCGUGAGCGAGGGUAGGCUGCGCUAUGCCGAGGUGACUCCGGGCGGGCCGUUUCUGCUCAGCUGAUAUGCGCUCGGCGACGGCGAGGGCAGCGGCUGGAAGCUGGAGCACCAGGUGUCGCUCAGGAAGGUCUUGGCGGACGGAGGCUACCCGUGGCAGGUGAACUCGGCGCAGUCGUCGCCGCAGAUCGCCCUUGACCCUCUCGACGCCAGUGUCAUUUACAUCAAGGCCGGCGAGCACGUCCUCGUCGUGGACAUGUAGAAUGGGAAGGUGGUCGGGGCCUCUCGGCUUGAAGACGAGUACUUUUCUCUGGUACCAUGCGUGCUUCCACCGUGGCUUGGAUCGAGCCGGAUCCCCACGGCAGGCAACAAAGAUUGCGUGGAAUCGACAGAUGAUAUAUUUAGUUUCGUCUAG
rnacentral:rRNA from 1 species